UUUUUAUUUACACUCCCACUAAUGUGUAAGUUAGGCUUUAAGUAAUUGUUUCUAUUAUGCAGGCUGACUAUUCAAACAGAUAUUGCCCCAGCCUGAUUUCUUUUGUUCAAAAAUAAAAGAACAAUCUCUUUGGAUACAUGCAGAGACCAUCAGGGGAAGCAUUAGAAGGACUGCAGUGAUCAGGAAAAUGCAAGAGCAUAAUAGAAGCAAGUUUAAAUUUGAUAGCACGUAAAGAAAAUGAUAUGCUUCUGCUUCUAAGCAAGGUGUCUUUAAGCUGUGAAGAAUUUGUAAUGGAAUGACUGAUACAGUGUUUUAUACUCGUCCUUUGAUUUCAAAAUAUUGCAAGGCAGAAUUGAUGAAGACACCUCUGAAAUAGUGAAGAACUAAGUUCAGAGAUGCUCUCUGUGAAAGCUGAAGAUCGAAGCAGAGUGUAUUAGCAUGCUGCAAGUGAUUGCUUUGUAAUUUAAGAAAGGUGGUGGAAAACGCUUUAACCUGAAUCCACACCUUAAAGUAAUUAGUAUUAGGAUAAUUACAAAAACUGUAGACUAUUAGCCCUUAAAAAAAAAAAAAAGAAGGAAAAAAAAGAAAAAAGAAAAACAAUAGACUCAACAGAUUCCCAAAUGCUAGAAUAUUCCUGUUCUAAAAUUCAAAACAAAUUUUGGAUUCAGGAUGUAAGGAAUGAGUAUAGUUACAACAACAAAAACAACAAAAACCCUCUGGUUCAAAACUGUGGCAAGAAAUUCUUGAGAAAGGAGAAGGUGACAGAGUUUGGAUGCAGAUUAGAAUUCAGUUGCUGUGUUAGUGCAGCAAAAGAAUUCCCUACCUGAGAGCAUUGUAAAGUCUGAGAAAAACAUCACCAUUAUCCAGAAAGGUCACCAAAAGAAACCAAUUAGAACUCUGGAAGGAAUAAAUCUUUAAUAAUGCCCUCCCUGGAAAGGUCA
rnacentral:lncRNA from 1 species